UGGCCACAGUCCUGGUAGGAGUUAAGAUUCACGCAGGUGCACAGUGCUUCAAUCUGCGCUUCUGAGGUGAGGUUUCGUGCUGCUCAUGAAUGAACCUCCAAAUGAGAUCUACCUUUUCCGACUGGAAUGUGUAUUAGCAGAUAUAACUAUCACUGCUGAUCAAACGUAACUGCAAAAAGGGGCUUCCUGAGUGCCAGCUGUAUUGGGGUCUUAUUAUAGGUGGGUACCUGCAGUUCCACAGGGGCGAUUCUGACUUCAGCCCCCACAGGAACGUUUGCUUAUCAGGCCCCGAGAACUCCACUGCAAUCGAUUUGCAUAAUGGGCAAAAGAGCAUUGCAGUGCACCAACAAUGGAAUAUUAGUUCUGCAUCUUUCUGCCAAGAAACAAAACAUGCACUAGAUACUAGAUACACUUAGUACCUCCUAAUUGUUUUGCAAUUUGCUUUUGAUUUCUCUGCUGCAGGAGAAAUGGUGUUGUCAACAGCUGCACACAGAUCACUCCCAGGUCCACAGACUUUCCAAGCACAGCUGUCCAUACAGUGGAAACCCAGCAGGAAGUACCUGCAAAGGUGUCGGAGGACUUGGGCGUCGAACCACAGGGAUGAAUUACUAGCACUGCCAACGCAGGAGUACAGCCUACACUUCAAGGCAGUCGCGUGUCAUUUCCUGGCUGGAAGAGCCGAAGAAAACGGAUGCACUGCUACUGCGCUGUCCUCUUCUGCUCACCAAAGGACACUUGGCCUCUACAAAUCCAAACAUCUGGCUCAGCGGUUUUGUGAUGCUCCGAUGAAACUAAGCGCUGCUAGGAGCCUGUAGUCCGCCCUCCUUUGUCAAGACCCCAUCCCAACACUUCCGGACUUCAAACUUUCAACUGCUGUCGGAUGUCCACUAUCUUUCCCGAUCAGUCUGCUGCUUGCCUCCCUUCUCCUCUUCCUUCGGAGGUCAGCCUUUAAGAUCUCCGCUUCUCCACUUCCUACAGGAUCCAGGAUAUU